rnacentral:rRNA from 1 species
UACGGGGGGGGCAAGCGUUGUUCGGAAUUACUGGGCGUAAAGGGCUCGUAGGCGGCCAACUAAGUCAGACGUGAAAUCCCUCGGCUUAACCGGGGAACUGCAUCUGAUACUGGAUGGCUUGAGUUCGGGAGAGGGAUGCGGAAUUCCAGGUGUAGCGGUGAAAUGCGUAGAUAUCUGGAGGAACACCGGUGGCGAAGGCGGCAUACUGGACCGACACUGACGCUGAGGAGCGAAGGCCAGGGGAGCAAACGGG